CGCCUGGGGAGUACGGCCGCAAGGCUAAAACUCGAAGGAAUUGACGGGGGCCCGCACAAGCGGCGGAGCAUGCGGAUUAAUUCGAUGCAACGCGAAGAACCUUACCAAGGCUUGACAUACACCGGACCGGGCCAGAGAUGGUCUUUCCCCCUUGUGGGGCUGGUGUACAGGUGGUGCAUGGUUGUCGUCAGCUCGUGUCGUGAGAUGUUGGGUUAAGUCCCGCAACGAGCGCAACCCUCGUUCUAUGUUGCCAGCACGUGAUGGUGGGGACUCAUAGGAGACUGCCGGGGUCAACUCGGAGGAAGGUGGGGAUGACGUCAAAUCAUCAUGCCCCUUAUGUCUUGGGCUCCACGCAUGCUACAAUGGCCAGUACAAUGGGUUGCGAUGCCGCGAGGUGGAGCUAAUCCCAAAAAGCUGGUCCCAGUUCGGAUCGUGGUCUGCAACUCGACCACGUGAAGUCGGAGUCGCUAGUAAUCGCAGAUCAGCAACGCUGCGGUGAAUACGUUCCCGGGCCUUGUACACACCGCCCGUCAAGUCACGGAAGUUGGUAACACCCGAAGCCGGUGGCCUAACCCUUGUGGGGGGAGCCGUCGAAGGUGGGACUGGCGAUUGGGACUAAGUCGUAACAAGGUAACCGUA
rnacentral:rRNA from 1 species